rnacentral:rRNA from 1 species
GUGUCAGCAGCCGCGGUAAUACGUAAGGAGCGAGCGUUGUCCGGAUUUACUGGGCGUAAAGGGCUCGUAGGCGGCUUCUUAGGUCUCACGUGAAAUUCCCUGGCUCAACCGGGGAGGGUCGUGGGAAACCGGGAGGCUAGAGGGCAGGAGAGGAGAGUGGAAUUCCCGGUGUAGCGGUGAAAUGCGUAGAGAUCGGGAGGAACACCAGUGGUGAAGACGGCUCUCUGGACUGUUCCUGACGCUGAGGAGCGAAAGCCAGGGGAGCAAACCGGAUUAGAUACCCGGGUAGUCCUGGCCGUAAACGAUGGGUACUAGGUGUGGGGGGUUCGACCCCCUCCGUGCCGCAGUUAACGCAUUAAGUACCCCGCCUGGGGACUACGACCGCAAGGUUAAAACUCAAAGGAAUUGACGG